rnacentral:rRNA from 1 species
UGAAACCGUUCAGGGGUAAACCUGCGAAACUCGAAUGAACGAACGGAGAGAUUCAUCGUCACUCCACGGCGUACGUGCGUGUUACUCGAUGUGAUGUGACCUCGUGUCUUGUCGCACGGUACGCGUUCGUCGACGUCCGUGGACGGCGUGCACUUCUCUCUUAGUAAUGCAUCGCGACCCGUUCGAUGUCGGUCUAAGCGCCGUUCGGGAGCCCAAUCGUUCCCCCUCACGGGGGUGGCGGCUGGACCGUGACGGACGCCGACCGGCCGUCGGACGGUAUGAACAAUGAAUCGCGCACGCGUCUACGACGCGUCCGGCCCGACGCAAGGCGUUUUCGUCGUUCGUCGAAUUCCUGCCAAUGUGCGGAAUUUGAUGCGGCGCGCCUGUUAUGUUGCUGCCGUGUUGUCUCGGACUGUGCGCGUAUCUGUCUGCGAUGAUUCCCGUUUCGGGCACUCGCAGGACCCGUCUUGAAACACGGACCAAGGAGUCUAGCAUGUGUGCGAGUCAUUGAGAUUUUGACUAAACUGAAAGGCACAACGAAAGUGAAGGCGCGCGCUCGUCGCACGCUCAGGGAGGAUGGAGCGUCGGUCGUCGAUCGAUCUCUCGCACUCCCGAGGCGUCUCGUUUCCAAUCUGUGAAUGUAGGCGCGCUCUGAGCGCAGAUGCUGGGACCCGAAAGAUGGUGAACUAUGCCUGGUCAGGUCGAAGUCAGGGGAAACCCUGAUGGAGGACCGUAGCGAUUCUGACGUGCAAAUCGAUCGUCGGAACUGGGUAUAGGGGCGAAAGACUAAUCGAACC